CUACGGGACGCAGCAGUGGGGAAUAUUGGACAAUGGGGGAAACCCUGAUCCAGCAAUGCUGCGUGUGUGAAGAAGGCCUGCGGGUUGUAAAGCACUUUCGGUUGGGAGGACUGCUUCUAGCACUAAUAUUGUUGGAAGUUGACGUUACCUUCAGAAGAAGCACCGGCUAACUCCGUGCCAGCAGCCGCGGUAAUACGGAGGGUGCAGGCGUUAAUCGGAAUUACUGGGCGUAAAGCGCGCGUAGGCGGCUAGAUCAGUCGGGUGUGAAAGCCCCGGGCUUAACCUGGGAACUGCAUCCGAUACUGUCUAGCUUGAGUACAGGAGAGGAGAGUGGAAUUCCACAUGUAGCGGUGAAAUGCGUAGAUAUGUGGAGGAACACCAAUGGCGAAGGCAGCUCUCUGGCCUGAUACUGACGCUGAGGUGCGAAAGCGUGGGGAGCAAACAGGAUUAGAUACCCGCGUAGUC
rnacentral:rRNA from 1 species